UACGUAGGGUGCGAGCGUUGUUCGGAAUUACUGGGCGUAAAGGGCUCGUAGGCGGCCGGCUAAGUCCGACGUGAAAUCCCCAGCUUAACCUGGGAACUGCGUCGGAUACUGGCGGGCUUGAAUCCGGGAGAGGGAUGCGGAAUUCCAGGUGUAGCGGUGAAAUGCGUAGAUAUCUGGAGGAACACCGGUGGCGAAGGCGGCAUCCUGGACCGGCAUUGACGCUGAAUAGCGAAAGCCAGGGGAGCAAACGGG
rnacentral:rRNA from 1 species